rnacentral:rRNA from 1 species
GAUGAACGCUGGCUACAGGCUUAACACAUGCAAGUCGAGGGGAAACGACGGGGAAGCUUGCUUCCCCGGGCGUCGACCGGCGCACGGGUGAGUAACGCGUAUCCAACCUGCCUCUGACUGAGGGAUAACCCGUCGAAAGUCGGCCUAAUACCUCAUGGCAUCGUCUGCGGGCAUCCAACGACGAUUAAAGAUUUCAUCGGUCAGGGAUGGGGAUGCGUCUGAUUAGCUUGUUGGCGGGGUAACGGCCCACCAAGGCUACGAUCAGUAGGGGUUCUGAGAGGAAGGUCCCCCACAUUGGAACUGAGACACGGUCCAAACUCCUACGGGAGGCAGCAGUGAGGAAUAUUGGUCAAUGGGCGAGAGCCUGAACCAGCCAAGUAGCGUGCAGGAUGACGGCCCUAUGGGUUGUAAACUGCUUUUAUGCGGGGAUAAAGUGAGGGACGUGUCCUUCAUUGCAGGUACCGCAUGAAUAAAGACCGGCUAAUUCCGUGCCAGCAGCCGCGGUAAUACGGAAGGUCCGGGCGUUAUCCGGAUUUAUUGGGUUUAAAGGGAGCGUAGGCCGUGGAUUAAGCGUGUUGUGAAAUGCAGGUGCUCAACGUCUGCACUGCAGCGCGAACUGGUCCACUUGAGUGUGCACAACGCAGGCGGAAUUCGUCGUGUAGCGGUGAAAUGCUUAGAUAUGACGAAGAACUCCGAUUGCGAAGGCAGCUUGCGGGAGCACAACUGACGCUGAAGCUCGAAAGUGCGGGUAUCGAACAGG